GACAGAGGUCCCGAGCGUUAGGCGGAAUCACUGGGCUUAAAGCGUGUGUAGGCGGAUGCCUAAGUACCUUGUGAAAUCCCACGGCUCACCCGUGGAACUGCUUGGUAUACUGGGUGUCUUGAGCCACUUAGGGGCUACCGGAACAAAUGGUGGAGCGGUGAAAUGCGCAGAUAUCAGGAGGAACACCGGUGGCGAAGGCGGGUCUCUGGGCCGAUACUGACGCUGAGGAGCGAAAGCGUGGGGAGCGAACAGG
rnacentral:rRNA from 1 species